rnacentral:snRNA from 1 species
UCUUCGCAACAUCGAGUGCCU